CCUACGGGAGGCAGCAGUGGGGAAUAUUGGACAAUGGGCGCAAGCCUGGUCCAGCAAUGCCGCGUGAGUGAUGAAGGCCUUAGGGUCGUAAAGCUCUUUUACCAGGGAUGAUAAUGACAGUACCUGGAGAAUAAGCUCCGGCUAACUCCGUGCCAGCAGCCGCGGUAAUACGGAGGGAGCUAGCGUUGUUCGGAAUUACUGGGCGUAAAGCGUACGUAGGCGGUUAUUCAAGUCAGAGGUGAAAGCCCGGGGCUCAACCCCGGAACGGCCUUUGAAACUAGGUAGCUAGAAUCUUGGAGAGGUCAGUGGAAUUCCGAGUGUAGAGGUGAAAUUCGUAGAUAUUCGGAAGAACACCAGUGGCGAAGGCGACUGACUGGACAAGUAUUGACGCUGAGGUACGAAAGCGUGGGGAGCAAACAGGAUUAGAUACCCUGGUAGUCCACGCCGUAAACGAUGAUAACUAGCUGUCCGGGCACUUGGUGCCUGGGUGGCGCAGCUACGACAUUAAGUUAUCCGUCCGUCGGGUAGGUACGGUCGCGAAGAAUUAAAACUUAAAAGUAAAGUUAGUACGGACGUGAGACGUAGCCGAACGGACGACGACGAGGGAGGUAGG
rnacentral:rRNA from 1 species